rnacentral:rRNA from 1 species
UGGGGAAUAUUGCACAAUGGGCGAAAGCCUGAUGCAGCAACGCCGCGUGAGUGAUGAAGGCCUUCGGGUUGUAAAGCUCUGUCUUCUGGGACGAUAAUGACGGUACCAGAGGAGGAAGCCACGGCUAACUACGUGCCAGCAGCCGCGGUAAUACGUAGGUGGCAAGCGUUGUCCGGAUUUACUGGGCGUAAAGGAUGCGUAGGCGGAUACUUAAGUCAGAUGUGAAAAUCCCGGGCUUAACUUGGGAACUGCAUUUGAAACUGGGUAUCUAGAGUGCGGGAGAGGAAAGUGGAAUUCCUAGUGUAGCGGUGAAAUGCGUAGAGAUUAGGAAGAGCACCAGUGGCGAAGGCGACUUUCUGGACCGUAACUGACGCUGAGGCAUGAAAGCGUGGGGAGCAAACA